rnacentral:rRNA from 1 species
CCUACGGGAGGCAGCAGUGGGGAAUAUUGGACAAUGGGCGAAAGCCUGAUCCAGCCAUGCCGCGUGUGUGAAGAAGGCCUUCGGGUUGUAAAGCACUUUCAGUGGGGAAGAAAGCCUUGGGGCUAAUACCCUCGAGGAAGGACAUCACCCACAGAAGAAGCACCGGCUAACUCCGUGCCAGCAGCCGCGGUAAUACGGAGGGUGCGAGCGUUAAUCGGAAUUACUGGGCGUAAAGCGCGCGUAGGCGGUCUGAUAAGCCGGUUGUGAAAGCCCCGGGCUCAACCUGGGAACGGCAUCCGGAACUGUCAGGCUAGAGUGCAGGAGAGGAAGGUAGAAUUCCCGGUGUAGCGGUGAAAUGCGUAGAGAUCGGGAGGAAUACCAGUGGCGAAGGCGGCCUUCUGGACUGACACUGACGCUGAGGUGCGAAAGCGUGGGUAGCAAACAGGAUUAGAUACCCCAGUAGUC